rnacentral:rRNA from 1 species
CGCCUCUUGUUUUUCUAUAAGAGGUCCAGCCUGCCCAGUGAAUAAAUUAAACGGCCGCGGUAUCCUAACCGUGCGAAGGUAGCGUAAUCACUUGUUCUUUAAAUAAGGACUAGUAUGAAUGGCAUCACGAGGGUUAUUCUGUCUCCCCUUUUUAAUCAGUGAAACUAAUCUUCCCGUGAAGAAGCGGGAAUAAAACUAUAAGACGAGAAGACCCUAUGGAGCUUUAGACUACUUAACAAAUGCUAUUUACUUUCCUAUCCUCUGGGAACUUAACUAUAUUUUAUCAUACUGAUUAAUAGUCUUAGGUUGGGGUGACCGCGGAGUAUAAUACAACCUCCAUGAUGAAAGAAACUUAAUUUCUUAAUUCAGAGUAACAACUCUAAAUACCAAAAACUUGACAUAGCUUGAUCCAGUUUACUGAUCAACGAACCAAGUUACCCUAGGGAUAACAGCGCAAUCUACUUCAAGAGUUCCUAUCGACAAGUAGGUUUACGACCUCGAUGUUGGAUCAGGGUAUCCUAGUGGUGCAGCCGCUACUAAAGGUUCGUUUGUUCAACGAUUAAAACCCUA